rnacentral:rRNA from 1 species
AGAGUUUGAUCCUGGCUCAGGACGAACGCUGGCGGCGUGCCUAAUACAUGCAAGUAGAACGCUGAAGAGAGGAGCUUGCUCUUCUUGGAUGAGUUGCGAACGGGUGAGUAACGCGUAGGUAACCUGCCUUGUAGCGGGGGAUAACUAUUGGAAACGAUAGCUAAUACCGCAUAACAAUGGAUGACACAUGUCAUUUAUUUGAAAGGGGCAAUUGCUCCACUACAAGAUGGACCUGCGUUGUAUUAGCUAGUAGGUGAGGUAACGGCUCACCUAGGCGACGAUACAUAGCCGACCUGAGAGGGUGAUCGGCCACACUGGGACUGAGACACGGCCCAGACUCCUACGGGAGGCAGCAGUAGGGAAUCUUCGGCAAUGGGGGCAACCCUGACCGAGCAACGCCGCGUGAGUGAAGAAGGUUUUCGGAUCGUAAAGCUCUGUUGUAAGUCAAGAACGAGUGUGAGAGUGGAAAGUUCACACUGUGACGGUAGCUUACCAGAAAGGGACGGCUAACUACGUGCCAGCAGCCGCGGUAAUACGUAGGUCCCGAGCGUUGUCCGGAUUUAUUGGGCGUAAAGCGAGCGCAGGCGGUUUGAUAAGUCUGAAGUUAAAGGCUGUGGCUCAACCAUAGUUCGCUUUGGAAACUGUCAAACUUGAGUGCAGAAGGGGAGAGUGGAAUUCCAUGUGUAGCGGUGAAAUGCGUAGAUAUAUGGAGGAACACCGGUGGCGAAAGCGGCUCUCUGGUCUGUAACUGACGCUGAGGCUCGAAAGCGUGGGGAGCGAACAGGAUUAGAUACCCUGGUAGUCCACGCCGUAAACGAUGAGUGCUAGGUGUUGGAUCCUUUCCGGGAUUCAGUGCCGCAGCUAACGCAUUAAGCACUCCGCCUGGGGAGUACGACCGCAAGGUUGAAACUCAAAGGAAUUGACGGGGGCCCGCAC